UACGUAGGGUGCAAGCGUUGUCCGGAAUUAUUGGGCGUAAAGAGCUCGUAGGCGGUCUGUCGCGUCUGCUGUGAAAACUCGGGGCUUAACCCCGGGCCUGCAGUGGGUACGGGCAGACUAGAGUGCGGUAGGGGAGACUGGAAUUCCUGGUGUGGCGGUGGAAUGCGCAGAUAUCAGGAGGAACACCGGCGGCGAAGGCGGUUCUCUGGGCAUGACCUGACGCUGAGGAGCGAAAGCAUGGGGAGCGAACAGG
rnacentral:rRNA from 1 species